GCCAGCAGCCAUAUCACCCUGCAACACAUGGUAACACACUGAUGCUAAGCAGGUGUGAGCCUGGUCAGUACCUGGAUGGGAGACCUCCUGGGGAAAACUAAGGUUGCUGCUGGAA
ensembl:rRNA 5S_rRNA 5S ribosomal RNA